rnacentral:rRNA from 1 species
GACGGAGGGGGCUAGCGUUGUUCGGAAUGACUGGGCGUAAAGGGCGCGUAGGCGGCUUAUCAAGUCAGGUGUGAAAGCCUUGGGCUUAACCCAAGAAUUGCGCUUGAUACUGAUAAGCUAGAGGAUGAUAGAGGAAAGCGGAAUUCCUAGUGUAGAGGUGGAAUUCGUAGAUAUUAGGAAGAACACCAGAGGCGAAGGCGGCUUUCUGGAUCAUAUCUGACGCUGAGGCGCGAAAGCGUGGGGAGCAAACAGG